GACGAACGCUGGCGGCGUGCUUAACACAUGCAAGUCGAACGAAGAGCGAUGGAAGCUUGCUUCUAUCAAUCUUAGUGGCGAACGGGUGAGUAACGCGUAAUCAACCUGCCCUUCAGAGGGGGACAACAGUUGGAAACGACUGCUAAUACCGCAUACGAUCUAAUCUCGGCAUCGAGGAUAGAUGAAAGGUGGCCUCUACAUGUAAGCUAUCACUGAAGGAGGGGAUUGCGUCUGAUUAGCUAGUUGGAGGGGUAACGGCCCACCAAGGCGAUGAUCAGUAGCCGGUCUGAGAGGAUGAACGGCCACAUUGGGACUGAGACACGGCCCAGACUCCUACGGGAGGCAGCAGUGGGGAAUCUUCCGCAAUGGACGAAAGUCUGACGGAGCAACGCCGCGUGAGUGAUGACGGCCUUCGGGUUGUAAAGCUCUUCUUCAUCGGGACG
rnacentral:rRNA from 1 species